GAUGAACGCUGGCGGCGUGCCUGAUACAUGCAAGUCGAGCGAAUGGAUUAAGAGCUUGCUCUUAUGAAGUUAGCGGCGGACGGGUGAGUAACACGUGGGUAACCUGCCCAUAAGACUGGGAUAACUCCGGGAAACCGGGGCUAAUACCGGAUAACAUUUUGAACCGCAUGGUUCGAAAUUGAAAGGCGGCUUCGGCUGUCACUUAUGGAUGGACCCGCGUCGCAUUAGCUAGUUGGUGAGGUAACGGCUCACCAAGGCAACGAUGCGUAGCCGACCUGAGAGGGUGAGAGGCCCCACUGGGACUGAGACACGGCCAAGACUCCUACGGGAGGCAGCAGUAGGGAAUCUUCCGCAAUGGACGAAAGUCUGACGGAGCAACGCCGCGUGAGUGAUGAAGGCUUUCGGGUCGUAAAACUCUGUUGUUAGGGAAGAACAAGUGCUAGUUGAAUAAGCUGGCACCUUGACGGUACCUAACCAGAAAGCCACGGCUAACUACGUGCCAGCCGCCGCAGUAA
rnacentral:rRNA from 1 species